UGUAGGAGUGAGCCUGCUCGCGAUAGCGGUGUGUCAGUCGGUAUAUUUUUCACUGAUACACCGCUAUCGCGAGCAGGCUCACUCCUACA
rnacentral:misc_RNA from 1 species